rnacentral:rRNA from 1 species
GUGUGUUAGUGGAAGCGUCUGGAAAGGCGUGCGAUACAGGGUGACAGCCCCGUACACAAAAAUGCACAUGCUGUGAGCUCGAUGAGUAGGGCGGGACACGUGGUAUCCUGUCUGAAUAUGGGGGGACCAUCCUCCAAGGCUAAAUACUCCUGACUGACCGAUAGUGAACCAGUACCGUGAGGGAAAGGCGAAAAGAACCCCGGCGAGGGGAGUGAAAAAGAACCUGAAACCGUGUACGUACAAGCAGUGGGAGCCUCUUUAAUGGGGUGACUGCGUACCUUUUGUAUAAUGGGUCAGCGACUUAUAUUCUGUAGCAAGGUUAACCGAAUAGGGGAGCCGAAGGGAAACCGAGUCUUAACUGGGCGUUAAGUUGCAGGGUAUAGACCCGAAACCCGGUGAUCUAGCCAUGGGCAGGUUGAAGGUUGGGUAACACUAACUGGAGGACCGAACCGACUAAUGUUGAAAAAUUAGCGGAUGACUUGUGGCUGGGGGUGAAAGGCCAAUCAAACCGGGAGAUAGCUGGUUCUCCCCGAAAGCUAUUUAGGUAGCGCCUCGUGAAUUCAUCUCCGGGGGUAGAGCACUGUUUCGGCAAGGGGGUCAUCCCGACUUACCAACCCGAUGCAAACUGCGAAUACCGGAGAAUGUUAUCACGGGAGACACACGGCGGGUGCUAACGUCCGUCGUGAAGAGGGAAACAACCCAGACCGCCAGCUAAGGUCCCAAAGUCAUGGUUAAGUGGGAAACGAUGUGGGAAGGCCCAGACAGCCAGGAUGUUGGCUUAGAAGCAGCCAUCAUUUAAAGAAAGCGUAAUAGCUCACUGGUCGAGUCGGCCUGCGCGGAAGAUGUAACGGGGCUAAACCAUGCACCGAAGCUGCGGCAGCGACGCUUAUGCGUUGUUGGGUAGGGGAGCGUUCUGUAAGCCGUUGAAGGUGUGCUGUGAGGCAUGCUGGAGGUAUCAGAAGUGCGAAUGCUGACAUAAGUAACGAUAAAGCGGGUGAAAAGCCCGCUCGCCGGAAGACCAAGGGUUCCUGUCCAACGUUAAUCGGGGCAGGGUGAGUCGACCCCUAAGGCGAGGCCGAAAGGCGUAGUCGAUGGGAAACAGGUUAAUAUUCCUGUACUUGGUGUUACUGCGAAGGGGGGACGGAGAAGGCUAUGUUGGCCGGGCGACGGUUGUCCCGGUUUAAGCGUGUAGGCUGAUUUUCCAGGCAAAUCCGGAGAAUCAAGGCUGAGGCGUGAUGACGAGGCACUACGGUGCUGAAGCAACAAAUGCCCUGCUUCCAGGAAAAGCCUCUAAGCAUCAGGUAACAUCAAAUCGUACCCCAAACCGACACAGGUGGUCAGGUAGAGAAUACCAAGGCGCUUGAGAGAACUCGGGUGAAGGAACUAGGCAAAAUGGUGCCGUAACUUCGGGAGAAGGCACGCUGAUGGUAGGUGAAGCGACUUGCUCGUGGAGCUGAAAUCAGUCGAAGAUACCAGCUGGCUGCAACUGUUUAUUAAAAACACAGCACUGUGCAAACACGAAAGUGGACGUAUACGGUGUGACGCCUGCCCGGUGCCGGAAGGUUAAUUGAUGGGGUCAGCCGCAAGGCGAAGCUCUUGAUCGAAGCCCCGGUAAACGGCGGCCGUAACUAUAACGGUCCUAAGGUAGCGAAAUUCCUUGUCGGGUAAGUUCCGACCUGCACGAAUGGCGUAAUGAUGGCCAGGCUGUCUCCACCCGAGACUCAGUGAAAUUGAACUCGCUGUGAAGAUGCAGUGUACCCGCGGCAAGACGGAAAGACCCCGUGAACCUUUACUAUAGCUUGACACUGAACAUUGAGCCUUGAUGUGUAGGAUAGGUGGGAGGCUUUGAAGUGUGGACGCCAGUCUGCAUGGAGCCGACCUUGAAAUACCACCCUUUAAUGUUUGAUGUUCUAACGUGGACCCGUGAUCCGGGUUGCGGACAGUGUCUGGUGGGUAGUUUGACUGGGGCGGUCUCCUCCUAAAGAGUAACGGAGGAGCACGAAGGUUGGCUAAUCCUGGUCGGACAUCAGGAGGUUAGUGCAAUGGCAUAAGCCAGCUUGACUGCGAGCGUGACGGCGCGAGCAGGUGCGAAAGCAGGUCAUAGUGAUCCGGUGGUUCUGAAUGGAAGGGCCAUCGCUCAACGGAUAAAAGGUACUCCGGGGAUAACAGGCUGAUACCGCCCAAGAGUUCAUAUCGACGGCGGUGUUUGGCACCUCGAUGUCGGCUCAUCACAUCCUGGGGCUGAAGUAGGUCCCAAGGGUAUGGCUGUUCGCCAUUUAAAGUGGUACGCGAGCUGGGUUUAGAACGUCGUGAGACAGUUCGGUCCCUAUCUGCCGUGGGCGCUGGAGAACUGAGGGGGGCUGCUCCUAGUACGAGAGGACCGGAGUGGACGCAUCACUGGUGUUCGGGUUGUCAUGCCAAUGGCACUGCCCGGUAGCUAAAUGCGGAAGAGAUAAGUGCUGAAAGCAUCUAAGCACGAAACUUGCCCCGAGAUGAGUUCU